AAACUUUCAACAACGGAUCUC
rnacentral:ncRNA from 2 species